UACGUAGGGGGCAAGCGUUGUCCGGAUUUACUGGGCGUAAAGAGCGCGUAGGCGGAUGUUUAAGUGUGGCCUGAAAGCCCCCGGCUCAACCGGGGAGGCGGGUUGCAUACUGGACAUCUUGAGGGGGAUAGGGGAAGGUGGAAUUCCUGGUGUAGCGGUGAAAUGCGUAGAGAUCGGGAGGAACAUCAGUGGCGAAGGCGGCCAUCUGGGACAACACUGACGCUGAAGCACGAAAGCGUGGGGAGCAAACAGG
rnacentral:rRNA from 1 species